UACGUAGGGUGCGAGCGUUAAUCGGAAUUACUGGGCGUAAAGCGUGCGCAGGCGGUUUUUGUAAGUCUGUCGUGAAAGCCCCGGGCUCAACCUGGGAAUUGCGAUGGAGACUGCAAGGCUGGAGUUUGGCAGAGGAGACUGGAAUUCCCGGUGUAGCAGUGAAAUGCGUAGAUAUUGGGAGGAACACCAGUGGCGAAGGCGGCUACCUGGACCGGUUCUGACGCUGAUGCGCGAAAGCGUGGGUAGCAAACAGG
rnacentral:rRNA from 1 species